UACAGAGGGGGCAAGCGUUGUUCGGAAUUACUGGGCGUAAAGGGCGCGUAGGCGGCCCGCUAAGUCGAACGUGAAAUCCCCGGGCUCAACCUGGGAACUGCAUUUGUGACUGCACAGCUUGAGUGCGGCAGAGGGGGAUGGAAUUCCGCGUGUAGCAGUGAAAUGCGUAGAUAUGCGGAGGAACACCGAUGGCGAAGGCAAUCCCCUGGGCCUGCACUGACGCUCAUGCACGAAAGCGUGGGGAGCAAACAGG
rnacentral:rRNA from 1 species